AUACCUUGCUUUGCUUUUGGGUAUUUAAACAAAACAUCCACUGCCAUAUCUACGUUUGCCGCAAGAUGUAUAGAUGAAUGUGAUGGCGGCUAUCAUCCAGAAUGUGCAUUCAAUGGCAAAUGUUAUUAUGUAUUUGGCAAUGUCUGCAGACUUAAAUAUUUUAACUGCAUUUUAAAAAAAAGUAACAAAUCACAAUACCAACUUAUCCACAUGGGACACUGUGACAUAUAUGUAGAAAUACCAUUAUGUCGACAUAUUCUUCCCAACCGUAAUUGAAGCUUAACUGUCUUGCUAUUUUAUUGGGAAAGCAAGGAAAGCAAGCAACGUGUAGAACGUCAAAGUCCAGCCAGCCCGAUUCCUGCUGCCACCCUUCUCCAUCCAUAAACAUUUUUGUACCAAUCUCUGCUAUAUCAGCUAUAAGAUUUAGUCCACUUGAGACAUUUCAAUAAAAAUUAAAUUAUAAAAA